GACGAACGCUGGCGGCGUGCCUAAUACAUGCAAGUCGAACGCUUUUUCUUUCACCGGAGCUUGCUCCACCGAAAGAAAAAGAGUGGCGAACGGGUGAGUAACACGUGGUAACCUGCCCAUCAGAAGGGGAUAACACUUGGAAACAGGUGCUAAUACCGUAUAACACUAUUUUCCGCAUGGAAGAAAGUUGAAAGGCGCUUUUGCGUUACUGAUGGAUGGACCCGGGGUGCAUUAGCUAGUUGGUGAGGUAACGGCUCACCAAGGCAACGAUGCAUAGCCGACCUGAGAGGGUGAUCGGCCACACUGGGACUGAGACACGGCCCAGACUCCUACGGGAGGUAGCAGUAGGGAAUCUUCGGCAAUGGACGAAAGUUUGGCCGAGCAACGCCGCGUGAGUGAAGAAGGUUUUCGGAUCGUAAAACUCUGUUGUUAGAGAAGAACAAGGAUGAGAGUAAAACGUUCAUCCCUUGACGGUAUCUAACCAGAAAGCCACGGCUAACUACGUGCCAGCCGCCGCGGUAA
rnacentral:rRNA from 1 species